UGUCAGAAGUGGGAUUCGAACCCACGCCCACAUUCGUGGACCAGAACACUCAGAGCUCUGCAACAGAGCAAGGAAUUACCCUUGAGUCUGGCGCCUUAGACCGCUCGGCCAUCCUGAC
rnacentral:tRNA from 13 species